CAAAAUUUUCUGACCAAUAAGAUCCAGAUACAUGGAUCACACUUCUUAGCCAUUGGAUUAAUUUACAUCCAAAGGUUGAGAUUUAUGCUUUUUAUUUUUUCCUCUCUCUCUCUCCACGGCAGAUCUCAUCUCAUUCUCUUCUCUAUCUUUUUUUCGAUUCACUCUUCAUCUUCUUCAUCUUCUCCUUCUUCUCCUUCACUCUCAAAUAUCAUAUCUCUCACCUCUCACCUCUCCCAUCUCUGUCCCACCACGUCUCCUCCUCGCCUCACCACCACGUCUCCUCCUCGCCUCACCACCACUGCGUCUCAUCCUAUGCUACACCACCGCGGUCGCCUUCCCACCCCCACCACGAGAUACUCCCCCGGUCUGUGGUCGUGAGCGGAGUCUCCCGAAGUGGACCUAUGACGAAUCAGAGACUCCACCGGUGAGGAUCAGAAGAAUAAGAAUCGGUGCUUCUUUUGUUCUUAGUAGAUACAGGUGGUGAAGGAAGAUGAAGAAGAUUCAUGGACGUGAGUGAACGCGGCUGGAGUUUUCUUUUUUUUUUUAGGUUUAGUGUUUUUUUUUUUAGGGUUUUCAGGGUUUAGUGUAAACCGAAUUGGAUAAACCAUUGUGGUUUACUUUUUUUUCUGGUUUAGUUUUGUAAACCCGAAAUUUAUUUAUCAAUAAAUUUAAUUUAUUUCUAAUUAUAAAAAAA